GUUGGCAGAACCUGGUGGUUCCUUGGAGUGAUUCCAAGCCCCAUUUCCAUUAUUCAUUCCAUCAAUUAAAAUAAACUCUUUGCUUCAAAAAUCUGUGCUUUAUUUAAAUUCUUUUCUACAAUUUUCUGUUGCUAUCAGAGUCGGCCCUUGGUCCAAGCCACUCUCAUUUUGGCUUGGGCCCAGGGCUCAAAAUCCAUAUUAGUUUCAAAAUAGAAAAAGGGUUUGGGGCCUUUUGGCUUGGAGUCUUGGACUAAUGGACUGUAAUUUCCUCUGGAGUCUGCACUAUAUUGUGUACUGAUCUUUUUUUCUUUUCAACUCGACUUCCUCUCAGCUUCCAAAAUUCUCCAGCGAUCAGCGCAAAGUGACGAAAAUUUGAAAUCUACUGCGAAACCCCAAUCUCUCCGCUUCUCGUAGACUCGCAUGCCGAAUUCCAUUUUAUAUCUUCUGAGGUCUUUUUCUCCUCUCUGUGCGCCGCCAUUAAUUGCUCUAUUUAACUGUUAAGUUCAUGAGGAGGUGGACUUGCAAGUCUUGCAUUUUCAUCCACCAAAUUACUGAAAGAGGACUUGGAUUUAUUUAUUUGUAUUUUUUAUUUUUGUUCUUUUUUCUAACUUUCUAUGUGCUGAAUCUGCUGAUUGGUACAUUUUAUUCUCUUUUCGGAUCAUCAUUUUCGUAAGUAAAAUGGUUUAAUAGAUGUCUCUGCUUUGCUUGAUUACUUCCAUUUCAUCCCAAAUCACUGAAAUCAGCGCGAACCGUAGGUUUUUGACAUUUUGUUCUCCAAAUCAAUUUCUGCAAUUGGGAAAUGGAAAGUUGCAUCCUCGUCGUAGUAUUUUCCAACAAGGAGUCUCUCAUUUGAAAUUGACAUUUGAAGAACAAUUAUGGUUGGUUUAGCUGGUAUCUGGAAGUUGUAGGGAACACAUGUUCUUGAUGCCCAUUUUUGAAUUGUAGUGGUCCUUUUUUUUUUUUUUUUUUUUUUUGGCAUAUUGUUACUUGUUAGCGUAAAGAAGUAGGGAUAUAGGUGUGGGGAUGUUAGGAUGUUGGUGUAUUGUUAGUGUGGAGAUGUACUGAUGUAGAGUUUGUUCUAGUUUAUAAAUUCCAGUUUGUAAUUGAAUGGCGAAAUAGGAAUUCCAGUUUAUGAUUGGGCAGUUUGUUGGUGUACUGUUAUGUGAAGGUUUGAUUUAUGGAGUUUCGUUGUUUGAAUUGACAGUGUAGUUUAUGACUGCUGUGAAGUGUGAACUUAUUGCAGGUUAUUUUUCCUAAUUUUUGAACUGGCUAUGAAAAUCAUAAGCAGUGUUAACCAAUGAUGCACUUCAAGUUUUCAAGAAACAAUGCAUUUCUUCAUCAUUUAUGUUGGUAUUGCUCGGGUGUAGUUUAAAUGUUAUUUGGUCAUUUCUUGCAGGUUGAUUGUUGAACUCCUUCUGUUAUGACCCACUCACUCAUAGUCAAAGUCAAGAAAAUUAUUUACUCAAAGUCCAAAAUUCAAUUGGUCAAAGUCAAUCUCAAAUAGAGAUUUAAAUGAAAUAAAUUAUUUUAUUGGGGUUUAAUUUAUUAUGAAAAAUAGUUAAAGGUUUGAAAUGGAUAAAACUUAAUUUUAGGGAUCUACUUAUAUAUUAUUGGAAGUAAAGGACUAGAUGUUAUAUUAAAUUGAAGAAUAAGGACUUUCUUUGCAAAAAUGAGUUAGUGGAGUCCAAAAUGUCCAAAUAUUAAUCCCAUUGCCUUGACUCUUCAUUUGCAUACAUAUGUAUAGAAGAAUUGGAGACGGCAGGGAAGAAGAUCCGAGAGAAAGGAAGAAAAAGAGAAAGAAAAGAAGGAAAAAAAAAAAAAGAGGAAGAAGAAAGAAGAAAAAAUAGAAAAUUUUUGCCAAGUUGUUAGAAAAUAAGUGGUCUACACUAUCAGGCUUGAAUUCCUCAAUUUUGAAAGGUAAGUAAAAAAUUACUUAUUGUUAAGUUAUAUUUGAUUUUAUAGUUGUUAUAUUAUUAGACUAAAUUCAAUUUUAUUGAAGGAGUUAAGUAUGAUAAACUAUGAAAUUGAGUAAAGUGAAAGAAAAACUAGUUUUAGUGAUCAAAGAGACUGUAAAAAUUGCUUAAACGUGAAAUGAUUAAGUUUGGGUAUUGCUUAUUUAAUUAUUGAAAUUAUUUAAAAUAAUUGAUUGUUUAUUUAAAAAUUAUAUCGCAUUUCAGGCGACGAUAUUAACAUCAGUACAACUUAUCAACCGGAUUGAUUUUGCGAAUAUAGUACUGCGAGUGGAAAAAUAUAAAUAUUUUUAAAGUAUUUAUAAAUUAAGUUUAUUGUUAAAGUAUGUGCAAUUAUAUGCAAUUAUGUGUUCGAAUUAUAGGGUUAUUAUGGAAAUAUCUUUUAUUAUGAUACAUGUGAGAUUUCAAAGAUUGUAUACAGUACAUUGUGAAUUGGGAUAUGAGAUAUGAUUUUGAGAUCGGGCUGAAAAGUACCCGUGAUUAUAUAUUUCUUCUAGUUCACUGAGGAGUCUUAGCCCUAUACUACACUGAGGGGUCUUGGACCGGGGAUGAAGGGGUCUCGAUCGUGUACAUAUAGUUCACUGAGGGGUCUUGACCGUAUUCUAGAGUUGAUUAUGAGAGGUCUUUGAAACCGACUUUCGUUCACGAAGGGGUCAAAGACCCGUAACGAAAGUUCUUAGCUCGAGGGGCGGAUUAUAUAUUUCAGUCAGAGGGUAUAUUUUUGGUGGAUUUUUCAGCACGUUUGAUGUAAUGAGAUUAUAGCAUGGUUAUCAGCUGAUGUUUAUAUCAUGAUUUUGAGAUGAUAUUUUACGACCUUAUGUGAAUAUUUCACUUUUGGUUAUAAUUACAUGAUUUUAUCUUGUGAAUUAUUAAACGACAUGAACUCGAUUUUUGAUAGAAAUGUAAAAUUGAAAAAGUAUAAUUAUUUUCGAACUUCUCCACUCACUGAGCUAUCAACUCAUAUAUUUUUUCACGAUUUUUCUUAUAGGUAGCAAUUGAUUCUUUUUAGUUGGAAGAGCCUAAUGAUUUUGGAAUGAAAGCCACACAAUAUGUUCAAUAUUAUAACUUAUAUUGAUGAAGCACGAAAUAAAUAUUUUGGGUCCAUCGCAUUAUGUUUUACAUAAGCAUUUGAUUUUGUUGCAUUUUUUGAAAUAACUCGUGGUCAGGCUUGGUGAUAGAUUUGACAUCUAGUCAGCAUCUAUCAUCGAGCACGUCACGUUUCGGGUCCACUAGGGUGAUUCGGGACGGGUUGUGUCACCUUCACUUGGCAUAUUUGAGAACCUGGGGUAUUUUUAAUUCAAACUCUGAAUCAGGUUCUACCGUUAUUUGCUAUAAUUAUGGUUUAAUGGAUUAGUUAUGAUUUCUAUUGAAAAAAAAUGUUGGAAAACCUUCAUUUAAGAUGUUUGACUACUAAUUUUACAUCUCAAAACAUAAGAAGAAAUAUGAUACUAGCCUAAUCUCUAAAAAGUGAGAAGACUAAUUUCUGUAAGUGAUAUUUUAUCUAGCAAUUUUAUCUUUGAGAUUGUAUAAAGAUUUCACACACACACACACACACAUGUAUAUACAUGUAUAUGUACGUAUAUUUUUUCAUUUAACUAUUGUUAUACGUGUAGAAAAACAAUGUACGGGGGCCUCAACGGGCCAACUCGCUUAGGGCCUCCGAUUUGUCAGGGCCGGCUCUGUGUUGCUUCAUACCGUCUCUUUCUCGGUAGAGCUGUUCGGGCAAUAAGCUUUGAUAGAGGAAAGGUGGUAUCCGGAUCAAAUGAUCAGCCUGUGCUUGUGUGGGAUAAGCAGACAGAUCAGCUACUAGAAGAACUAAAGGGCCACAAUUCACAGGUUUGGUUGGGGCAUUUCCUACAUUAUAUUCUUAAUUUUAUUUUCCUUUGCAUGUUGAGAAGUGCCUUUUUUGGUUUUUUUUGAUGUAUUUGUCAGUUUUUCACAAAACUUUCCGUCAGAGCUAUAAUAUGUAAAAAUUGGAAUAACUGAAAUAUAAAAGAAAAAGAAUUACAUGGCUUGCAUUGACGAAGAGGAUCAUGGAUUGAGCUUAUUAUGCUUUGAUCAAGUUUUAGAUGCAAGUUCCGGACAUAAUUAAGCAAUGUUAUCUGGGCUCAAAUAAUAUAAGGUCAAAAUAUUCUGGAAGAUUUACUCCUCAAACUUUCCGAGAUUUAAUAAGUAAUAAUGGUAGCUGUGAAGAAAGAAUACAUCUUUUAUGCAACCCAAGGCUUUCUGUUCAUAUUUGAACACUCUUUAGCCAUGUUGUAAAAGCUGUAAAAAGGUUCCACAUAGUUGUGAGGCCUUUCUAAAACUCCUUGCAUGUGGGCAAGGCGUGGAAAAAGGUGGUCAACUCCUUUUUUGAG
rnacentral:lncRNA from 1 species